rnacentral:rRNA from 1 species
CGCAUCAGCCAUGGCGCGGUGAAUACGUUCCCGGGCCUUGUACACACCGCCCGUCAAGCCAUGGAAGCCGGGAGUGCCUGAAGUGUGCAACCGCAAGGAGCGCCCUAAGGUAAAACUGGUGACUGGGGCUAAGUCGUAACAAGGUAUC